CUCUGUGCCAUCAGUCGUAGAGUGACGGCCAUUGCUGUAACAUCACUAAUCUGAGGCGUGAACAUUAGGACCACUUUAAUGGUAAGGAAAUCCUUUUCGUUAGUGAUGGAGAUCACUGUCUGGUGAGAGACUGUGCACAUCAACGUCUUCAUCUGUUAGAAGAGAACCUACUUCCCGCAUACUGCAGUGUUACGUGACAUAUAUAAGAAAUGCACAUUCAGAUGCCUCUUCCUAAACAUUUAUUUUUCAAAGUAAAAAAAAAAAAGCUUCUGUCUGGGAAAGUCGCUGAUGAAGUGCUACUUCGGAGAAAGAAUUGUCUUUUAUCCACAGAGCAUUUGAUAGAAUUUCCCCAACUCCUACCUGAUUUGAGGCACUCAAUCACAGAUCAAUGAGCAUUAGUCUGAUUCACUGCUUGUAACAGCCAUUAUAUUAAUAUAUCCGGGCACCUGAAUAGGUGGCUGCCCUUGGCUACUGCGUUAUUCUUAUGUAGAAAAAUAGUGCUUUGCAGUGAAUGAGGUUUAAUGAAGAUCAGUCAUGACAUUUAACAACAUUGUAUCUUAGCAUUUCCUGACCGUAGUUACUGUUAAGUUUUUAAAGUUUAAUGCUUAAAAGAAGAUUCUGGCAAAUCAUUUGUUUACCUGUUGAAAGCAUUGUGCAGACUUCUCAAAGUGCUGCAGAUUAGGUAACUGUGAAUGUUUCAGUUAGACAGACUGCUUCAAAUGCAACCACUUCACAGCUAAAACAGGCACACUGCAAUAUAGGUUGCAUGAAAGGAGUUCAGACCUCGUUGGCAUCCUGAAAAUCUGCAACACUGUCCUCUGGAUAUAGCUUCAAGCAGAGAAUUGUCAUAGUAUUCGUAAAGAUAUAUCUGUAUUGGAUAUAUAUAAAAAAAAAAUAGCAACUCGCUGGUAAAUGUGGUUCAAUUUAACACUCAUGUAGUACAGUUAGUAAUUAAUAUUGUUUCAGUUAAUGAAAAAGACAGAUAAGCCUAUUGGUGUGUAGCGGCAACAGGCCGUUAUGGUUUAAAUAAAAUAAAUUGUAUAUAUAUAUAUAUAUAUAUAUAUCACGUUGGUUGUUAAAGCAGAAUUUUAGGGGGACUCUUUAAGAGCCAUUUGAUAACAUCUAGGGCUUUUCAAUCUGCUAAAACGCUGCUGAGUGAGUACGUGUACUGGUCUAUAAGUAGUAAUGGUUACAAUGCUAUUAGUUUCCCUUUAAGAAUUUAGUAGAUUACCUAUUUUUCAGUUCAGAACAUCAACAUGGUCAGGGCUGUUAAAGAGAGAAUUGCUGGGAAUUUCGAAAUUUAGACCUAAAUAGCGGAUUUAGAAAAAGUCAAUUCUACAUGACUGUUAUGACCUAAAAUUUGAGAUUUUGACCUGGAAUGUGAGAUUUCUAGUAAUUUUCACUUGAGUGAUUAACCUUGUCUGAGUGAUAGACUCUCCACAUUCGAUUUAUCCACCAAACUGGGAAGUAUGUGAAUUGAGCAGGACUUUUUUGGACCUCAGUUGCUAAAUUGUAGAAUGUUUUUAAUUUGAACUAUUCUGGCCCACAAAUUGUACUGCUUUGUAAAUGUUCCACAGUUCACAGUUUAAUAAUUAAUGAAUAAAAUCCAUGUUUUAAAAUUGGUCACUAUGGAGUCUAGCGUUCUUUUCUUAUUAACCUAAUUAUUUUCUAUAUCUCUACAGGCUCGUUUGUCCUAUAUGCGGAUAAAAUAUCUCUUCUUAUCAUGGCUGGCUGUAUUUAUUGGCAGCUGGGUUAUAUAUGUUCGGUACAAUUCCUACACAGAGCUCUGCAGGGGACAUGAUUGUAAAUCAACUAUA